ACAGAAAGCAGGAAGAAAGAAAGAAACUAGUUUCUCUGGGAAUUAAAAGGAAAAAUAGAGGAAAAGGGAAAAAACCCAAAUUCCGGCUAAGAAAAUUAAUAGCAAAGGUUGAAACUUUUUAUAUCAGUCCAUCUUUUCUGCCUUAUAAAAGGGUGUGAGAAGCUGUUUCAUUUGAAAAACGCACACUCUGUGAAUAGGGUCUCGUCAUUCCCUUUUCUUCUGCUUGUUCUCUUCUCUCCUAUUUGUUUUCUGUUUGUUUCCGGAGAAUAACGUAAUUGGGAUUUUCUCAUUUCAAGACCUUUAUCAGGCGGUGUUUGGUGUACUUUUGUGGGGCUGUCUGUUUAUGAAGGAUCUUCUAUCACUUUCUUAUGUUUCAACACUGGUUUUCAUACAAAAGGUUUUAAUUUUAGAGGUGAAAUGGAAGGGAAUAAGCAAAAGGGUAUCUCGUUAUCCUUCACUUCUGAGUUCUUUGGGUCCAUCAAAGAGUCUCACCUUCCUCCUCCUCCUUCCGCUGGUGGGAUUUUUGGUUCCAUUUUUUCCCCUCUAUCGUCCAAGACCAAGGUGUUGGGGAGAGAAUCUCUGCCUUAUGAAUUGAGUCGCAAAAUUGCCAAUCAAACCCGGAACGCCAAAGUUGGUAUUCAAGAUUACUACUCCAAGGGCAGUGGUAGCGAAGCUCAGAACACUGUGAAUAAUACGAGUUCCAUCUAUCAGGAUCAGAGAGUUCAACCGUGUCACCUUAGUUCAUCAAUUUAUUAUGGGGGUCAGGACAUCUGUCCUAGUCCUCAGAGUACCCAUAAUGAGGGGUUCAGCACUUUGCCGUACCAGAAUGAUGCCGGAGAUGAUGAGUCAGAACUUGCUUCAAGAGGAAACUGGUGGCAAGGGUCUCUCUAUUAUUAAGAUCACCCUGACCAAGGCAUGGGCUGCUCAAGGUACAUAGCAGCAUAGUUUAGCAGUGUAGUCCAUCGUUUGUUAUAUGGAAGAGCUAUACAGCAGUGUUACGGACAGCAGUUGGCUUUCUUUGGCUUUGACAGAAUCAUCACAUGAAUCUAUUAUCAUGAUCUUUUUAUUGAAGCUAAUCCAAACGGAAAUGAUU